rnacentral:ribozyme from 1 species
AACGUCGAUCUAUGGCAUGGUCCUGACAACACACCGUUCAAACUUUCGAUUUAUGUUGAGGAUGGGAACGAACGUCCAUUCUCUGCAAUCCUCGCGACGCCACAUUCGUCGUUGGGUAAUACAGU